CCUGAAGAAAAUAUUAACCAUUUGGCCGAGGCUUGGCUUUGUUUUGGGAUUUUGCUGUGGGUUGACCAAGAGUCCAUCUGUUCAAGGUAACCGCAUAAAAAGAAAAUCUAUGGCACAAUUUGAAGUGGAUGAAUGCAUUUACCAGGCACCGUCUACAUGGUCACCAUCAUUAGGAGACUAGCCCCUCAAGACUCCACCUCUGAGGAAACUGUCCAUCAGUCAGAGGGUGCAGUGGGAAGGCUGUCUCCUGCACCCUGCCCCAGCUCAGAUAUGGACAUCUCAAUGGGUACGUUUGCUAGAUUAAAGUCAGGAACACAUUUUGGUGACAGCAUCAUUGCCACAUCUCCACAGCUGACUAAGGAAGAUAUGCCACACUUAGAGGACAGCUGGAUACUGAGUGUAAAGAUUGUAAUGUGGUUAGCCAGGUGGGCGUCAUAGAAUAUGAGUUCCCUGACUGAGAAUGUUAAUCUGGCCCAAUCAGGGAGCCCUG